UUGCAGACGCGACGCUAUCUGGAACUGGCAACAAAAUACGACGAGCACAUGGCCAGCGCCCACGGAGCACCACACGCGCCCUGAUCGCACAGAGGGUGGCUGAGAGCAGAGAACUAGCCAUAGACUGGGAGGGUGCGUGGGAGAGAAGGAUUUAGUGACGAUUGGAGCGUGCGUGGAUAGUAGUAAGAUUUUAGUGAGCAGAUUGGGAGGGUGGGCGUGGAAGAGAAGAUUUAGUGACAGAUUGGAAGGGUGCUUGGAAGAGAAGAUUUAGUGACAGAUUGGAAGGGUGCUUGGAAGAGAAGAUUUAGUGACAGAUUGGAAGGGUGCGUGGAAGAGAAGAUUUAGUGACAGAUUGGAAGGGUGGGUGGAAGAGAAGAUUUAGUGACAGAUUGGAAGGGUGAGUGGAAGAGAAGACCUAGUGACAGAUAGGGACUGUGGUUGGGAGAGCAGAGACACUCUAUGGUAGAUGGAGAAGGUGGGUGAAAGAGCAGAGACAUGGUAGACUGGGAGGGUAUAUAGGUGAGGCACUUGCCGGUAGAUGGGGUUACUGCUUUAUGAUGCUUGCUGACGGUGCGCCAAACAUGUCACGUCAGCAGAGGCCACCCUGCGUCAUGUAACACGCAUUUCUCGUAGUGAGAAUGGAAUUAUUAAAAUAUGGGCAUAUAAUUGUCAAACCAUAUAAAGAUAUCGUACCAUAUUUAGGUCGCAGGCGUUUCAUUACAUGUUGUAUUGGUGGAAUAAGUGAUUGGCAUUGUUAUUCUGGUAUUCGCGUCUAUUACUUACUUUACUUGCACUCUUUGAAGGAUUAUAUUUGAUAUUAUAACUUAAAUAACAACGUAUAAUAACCGUUAAAACGCCGUCAGGUUGUGUAUAGACGACGGGCUCCUAUAUGUUCUGCAAACACUGGAAUGCUAUAAAGUCGAAAAUCCGCCGCUACUGUUGUAUGCAUGCGCGUGUGUGUGUGUGUCUGUGUGAAUUAACUGACCAAGUGCACUAAUAAAUACACGUGAACCACAAAUUGAA